UGCGCAGGGUUAGCCGGCCCCUAAGGCAAGGCCGAAAGGCGUAGUCGAUGGGAACUCAGUUUAAUAUUACUGGGCCAUUGGGUGGUGACGGAUGACGUGUAUCGUAUUUCCUUAUUGGAUUGGAAGUGCGGUGAAGUUGUCCCAGGAAAUAGCCCCCAUUUAAGACCGUACCCCAAACCGACACAGGUGAUCAGGUAGAAGAUACCAAGGCGCUUGAGAGAACUCUGCUGAAGGAACUCGGCAAAUUACCUCCGUAACUUCGGGAGAAGGAGGCCCACCAUAAAGGCAACUUUUUGGUGGGGGCACAGACCAGGGGGUGGCGACUGUUUAUUAAAAACAUAGGGCUCUGCGAAGUCGUAAGACGACGUAUAGGGUCUGACGCCUGCCCGGUGCUGGAAGGUUAAAAGGAGGAGUGCAAGCUCCGAAUUGAAGCCCCAGUAAACGGCGGCCGUAACUAUAACGGUCCUAAGGUAGCGAAAUUCCUUGUCGGGUAAGUUCCGACCUGCACGAAUGGCGUAACGACUUCCCCACUGUCUCCAGCAGAGACUCAGUGAAAUUGAAUUCCUCGUGAAGAUGCGAGGUACCCGCGGCUAGACGGAAAGACCCCAUGAACCUUUACUACAGCUUCACAGUGGCAUUAGUCAUGAUUUGUGUAGGAUAGGCGGGAGACUUUGAACCGUAGGCGCCAGCUUGCGGGGAGUCGUCCUUGAAAUACCGCCCUGAUCCUGAUUGAUGUCUAACCGCGAACCGUUAUCCGGUUCCGGGACCCUGUGUGGUGGGUAGUUUGACUGGGGCGGUCGCCUCCCAAAGAGUAACGGAGGCGCGCGAAGGUAGGCUCAGUCCGGUCGGAAAUCGGACGUUGAGUGCAAUGGCAUAAGCCUGCCUGACUGCGAGACUGACAAGUCGAGCAGAGACGAAAGUCGGUCAUAGUGAUCCGGUGGUCCCGCAUGGAAGGGCCAUCGCUCAACGGAUAAAAGGUACUCUGGGGAUAACAGGCUGAUGACGCCCAAGAGUCCAUAUCGACGGCGUUGUUUGGCACCUCGAUGUCGGCUCAUCGCAUCCUGGGGCUGGAGAAGGUCCCAAGGGUAUGGCUGUUCGCCAUUUAAAGCGGUACGUGAGCUGGGUUUAGAACGUCGUGAGACAGUUCGGUCCCUAUCUACCGUGGGAGUAGGAGUUUUGAGAGGAUCUGCCCUUAGUACGAGAGGACCGGGGUGGACAUUCCUCUGGUG
rnacentral:rRNA from 1 species